rnacentral:rRNA from 1 species
AGUUUCAACAACGGAUCUCUUGGCUCUCGCAUCGAUGAAGAACGCAGCGAAAUGCGAUAAGUAGUGUGAAUUGCAGAAUUCAGUGAAUCAUCGAAUCUUUGAACGCACCUUGCGCUCCUUGGUAUUCCUUGGAGCAUGCCUGUUUGAGUAUCAUG